UACGUGAGGGGCGAGCGUUGUCCGAAGUUACUGGGCGUAAAGCGCGCGUAGGCGGUUCUCUAAGUCUGAAGGUGAAAGGUUCGGUGCUCAACGUGAACAGUGCCUUGGAGACUGGGGGACUUGAGUGUGGGAGGGGCAGUGGAAUUCCGGGUGUAGCGGUGGAAAUGCGUAGAUAUCCGGAGGAACACCGAUGGCGAAGGCAGCUGGCCUGGCCUGACACUGACGCUGAGGUGCGAAAGCGUGGGGAGGCGAACGGG
rnacentral:rRNA from 1 species